AGAGUUUGAUCAUGGCUCAGGACGAACGCUGGCGGCGUGCCUAAAACAUGCAAGUCGAACGCGAUGGCCCUUCGGGGCCUGGGAGUGGCGAACGGCGGAGUAAUACGUAAGCAACGUGCCCUGAAGUCUGGGAUAUACCGGGGAAACCCGGAGCAAUACCGGAUGUGGCCGUCUCCUGGCAUCAGGAGACGAUUAAAUGGUUUUUCGCUUCAGGAGCGGCUUACGGCCUAUCAGCUAGUUGGCGGGGUAAUGGCCCACCAAGGCUUCGACGGGUAACUGGUCUGAGAGGACGACCAGUCCGAGUGGGACUGAGACACGGCCCACACACCUACGGGUGGCAGCAGUUGGGAAUCUUGCACAAUGGGGGAAACCCUGAUGCAGCGACGCCGCGUGGAGGACGAAGGAUCUAGGUCUGUAAACUCCUUUUGCCAAGAAAGACUUAGGACGGUACUGGCGAAUA
rnacentral:rRNA from 1 species